rnacentral:lncRNA from 1 species
AGUUUUUUUUUUUUUUUUUUUUUUUUGGGGUCGACUAGUUUUGUAGUUGCAACAACUAUCCACCUUCUGGAGCACUCCAGGGUCAGAAACUUACAAAUAUAUUUGUGCCUUUCAUGUACAAGUAGAUGUAUAUAUGGUAGUAUAUCAAGUAGAUGAAUAUCAAGUCGCUUUUUGCUCCGUUAAGCUAUUUGAAGAAUACUCGAAGCAAUGAAUGGCCAGUACAAAAUCAAACUGUGCAUGUAGAAACUUUUUUUUUUUUUUUUUUGGGUAUGGAAGUAGACUUUCUACAGCUUAUUGCAUUGCUUUACAACCACCAAUUUAACGUCCAGGCAAAGAACCAUUGCAGUUAAUGCAUGUCCAAUUGUUCGUGAACAGUUAAGUAGCUGCAUCUGCUAUGUUUACAUUUAGCAACUGAUGAAAUUACACUCCCAAAUUUACAAGGAAAAUACAUCUUUGAAAGCAAUACAAUGUUGAUUUACAAGGUAAUUUUUCCGUGCUGAUUAUUUUUCUCGGUAAUGGAACAGUAACUAACUAAUCCCAUAUCAUAACAACAGCUAUGACUCCCACACCUAAAAGCACGGCAAGAAGCUUGAAAAAUGGAGUGUCAAAGUAGAGUUUAGCAUGUGGCUUGAAGCCUUUGGUGACGAGAUGAUUGAUGGCAACAUAGAUGAAAACGCCAGAGGCGAUUCCCAUGGAGAUGGCAAAAAUCCAAUCUGCCGUGCGCCCUUGGGUAGUGGCGUCGAUGGCAAUGCCUAUGCCCACCCAAUUGGGCUCGACACAGCAAAGGCAAAUGAAUAAGCAACUGUCGUCAAAAAUGGCCUCUUUGGUAUCAUCCUUAGAAGGGCAAUCCCCAUUGCAAUUGCUGCAAAUAUCUUGUGCAGUGAAAUUGUCCACAGGUUCUUCCAUGCAUCUGACUUGGUAGCUGAGCCAAUGUUUCACGAAGGGUCUCUUUUAGUUUUAAAUUCUCAUGAAAUUGAUAGUUAAUGGUGUAUGAUUUGAGCCCUAAUGAACUUUAUGCUGAAAGUGCAAUAUAAUAAUUGGCUAACAAGGUUGGGAAAAAAAAAAAAGAGGAGUUGAGGCAUUGCACCCUUAUAUACAUCUUGUGAUAUAGAGAAAGGAUCUGAUCAACAGAGCAUAACAUGCACUUCUCGGAAUAGCGAGCAAAAAUUCGAUGAUGAUCAGGUUAGAGUAAUCACGCAUAUUAACAUUUAACAAAUAGAUAAUUGAGAUUUGAUGCCAUGCAACUUUAAGUCAUGCUAGUAAAGAUCAGCUGGCUAGAAGUGCACAGAAAUGGUAGAAGAUUAUGUUAUAGAUGUUACGCGUGAUUCUAGAACACAAAUAAAGUUUGCCAAGUGCAGAAGUUUCGACGAUUAACAAUAAUAUUACGUAUCUCUAACUUGUUUCAAAUGUGUAAAUAUUGUUGCUUACCGCUACUCCAACAGCAAUCCCCUCGAAAACUGAGUGGAAACACAGAGCUAGGAUGAGAAGUAUGGUAUCCCCAACUGACGACGUUUUCACAGAACUGGGUUGUGAUGCAUUCCCUCUUCUUCACCGUAUCCCCAGAUGCUGCCCUGCCUUCUUCAACUUCGACUCUAUUAUCUUUCUCAGCACCCUUUGUGACCAAGAUCACUAUGCAAUCACCAAACAUGGUCAGAAGAUAGCCCGCGGAUGCCAACAUGAAAGAAAAUGGAUAAGAUUUUGUUGUUAGAUCAGCAAAAGUCGAGGUUGAGUCGCUCAGGAAGUGCAUAAGAGAAGUUCCAGAAACACCCCUCCAGCAAAUUGAGUUCCAUAAGUAGGAAGCUUUCGUUCCAUCGGAAAAAAUAAGGGGAGACUCCACCAGCAAAUGUGCUAGCAAAGAAAAUGAUCAAACACAGAUUUUGACGAGAAUUAGCCCUUUUGAGUGCAGAUCUGUGUUGUCACCAUCACUACUGCUUUCUUGAUCAUCGCCGCCAUGAGCACCAAUCCUGAAGCAUUGGAGGAUAAAACUGAAAGGAGAAGUAUGAUCAAGAAAGUUGACUUGGGCAGCCGGUCCACGGGAGAAGCCAUGUACGACAAAGAAGCUCUCGAGGAAAUUAACUUUGUUGUUUAAACAAUUAACAUUUUCGUCGUACGCUUUAUAAUGUAUAGGAGUGUACUUCAUGAAGAUUAAGCUUCAGGAUCAAUGACAACAAGACUCUGUUGCUAAAAUUUUGUAGUACAGCUUUGACUUUUACAAGGUUGUACUACACAUCCUGGACUUCAUAAUUUCUACUGGCCGGCUAUCAUUUGUGCGUUGACAAACAAUUCAGGCCAUUUCACGUACAAUAGGAUACAACGUAUAGUACAGAAUAUUACAGAGAGCCUGUGGCGAGCAGGGACUACAAGAAAAAAGAGUUUCAGUUGUUUUCGUGCACAGUGGACAUGAGAUAGAGCAUGGAUGUCUCAAAAAGCUCAAAGGGUUUUUGAUUUAAUACAGGGAAACAAGAAAUGUCUUGUGUUUUCACAAUGAUCGUUGGGUAGAACCGAGAUGGUUUGGCCGAAAAUCCUGUGGUGGAACGCUUUCACAGAAAGAUGAUGUGCAAAUUUGUUUCAGUGAUGCAUGGAAUUGAAAUUUGUUGUCAAUCUAUCUAUUUUGAAGGGAAAAAGUACAAAUUGUAUUCGAGUCAUUCAAACGCAAAAAAUCUUUUCUAGACGAUUUGGUAGCCAAGGUUAGGAUAACUAGUCCUUGCAACUCGACCACCUUCUUUAAUCUAAACAAAUCGCCUUGUGUCCUAGUACAAGAAGCCCAUAAACAAUACUGACAUUCAGCACAAAUAAAAGAAGCCCAUAACAGUUUUUCCAUGAAUUGGCCGACACCCCUAGCUUUUGUCGCGCGGCCGCUUGGUGAAUUAGCAAGAAUCACGGCUUAGCGACUAAAUUCUCUGUUCAUGAUGGAUUGACUUGUUAGAUUUGCAGGCAACAUGACAAGGUCGUGUAACAGAAAAUCCUUUGUUGUUUUGGAAAUGGGAAUGAACCUAUUGGUUAUUCUACUUCAGAUAAAUGCAGAUCGAGCCAGCCAACAUUUACAUACAAUUCUAACAUUUCUUCAGCUAAUAACUGCAGACCACUUCUUAUAGUAAUAGCAUUAAACUAUAUCCAUGGUUGGGAGUACAGAACAGAUGUAUACAUUCGGCUUGUGUUUUUACAUAAGCCAUACAUCGUCCAGAAUAAGGUGCAUUAAAGUAGCACUGUUUAUUGCAUAGAGUUUGCAGCAUGCAAAAGUCUCUUGAAAGACUCAAGCAUCCAUGCUCACGCAUUGCAUUCACCCAGCCUCGUAGAUCUGCUGGAAAUCUACAAACUGGGCAUGCAACUCGUUUUCCCACACCGGCAUAGAUGCACUCCAGAUGAAACUGUAACAGAGGACAGCCAAACAUGUCUGUGUGAGACUUAAAAUGCAUCUAACAUACAACUUUCAACUUCACAACUAUAAAAAUCUAAGACGAGCUGAGAUUAUUGUUAAAUCUCUCCGGCUUCUCCUUAAUCGCUCCGAUUCAAUAUUUAUUAAAUCCAUGCAUCAAAAGAAAGCUUAAUUUCAUCCCCAUGCUCUAAAAAUUACAGCAGCUGCUUUUCAGAUGACCACCAAGAAUGCAUACCAUCUUGAGUGGAUGCACGUUAGUAUUUGUUACCAUUGUUAUAUCCAAAUACAGAUCAAACAUCAAGCUUUGAUGUGGUCGAGUUGAUUUAUAGGGCAUGGAUUUCAGAUAGAGAUUAUGGUCUAGUGAGGGAAUUGAGUAGAACAGGAAAAACACUGAGUUUAAAUUUUGAUCCAGAAGGGGCAGAAGCCCGAUGCAAACAUGGUGAGGUAAGAAGAGGCACUCCAGCACCAAGUCGACCUGUGCACAUGCCACAUAGCAAUUCCACCUCCAGAGCUUCAAUGUACAUGUCUACAGUAUUCUUGCUGGCAACUAACUUGUUAAAUGGACAAAACAGAACCAACGGAUGCAUUUUGAUAUAUUACAGGCACCACCCAAUGAUACAGAUAAAAGAAUCAUGUAUUCAGGAAGAAUUAGCUGUCGAUGAUGAUACUGCAACAGCAGGAAGCACACUUUUGAAUAACAUAUGCUGCAUAAAGUUAAAAUUUGCAUUCAUUGGAUAAAACAGGUUACUGCAUCUUGAUUUGGAAAGUGUGCUCGAAGGGCGUAUUUUAGUCUAAAAUAUUUCAUAGAAUAGCCUCAUCUAAGCCUUCAAUCGAAAUUGAGCUGAAAGGUUCAAGACCAGAUUAAUGCCAAAAGAACACUGACUUGGUUUCUGGAUAUCAGCUUGAUUUGCAUUUCAUGUUAAAAACCAACAUGUGACCCCAGAACAGGACAUUAUCCAAACGGACGAGAAAGCAACGCAUAUUAUUGAUCUGGGUAUUUUUAUUAUUUCGAAGAACAGAAAGCAAUACUAAAAGUCCUAAAGUAACAAGACAAAGCAAAGAGAGCCGAACACAUGCAGAGGGAGUGAGAAACUUAACAUAUGAAGUUUGUAGAUAGCAGCAAGUUCAUCAACUAUAGGAAGCUCCUUAUGGGUAUCUCAACCUUCCCCUCUUUUCUGUCUACAUAUCCUAGACUUUUUCUUUAAAUUUUCUAUGAAAGCAAACAACCAAGAAUAACUCAAUACUGUGACUUCCAGCAAUUGAAAAUUAUUAGAUAACAAACAUAACAGUCCUGGAGUUUAUAGACAAAAUGCAGUUAGAGUGCCUUAUCUUGCAAGAGUACAUAAUAACCCCAUUGGUGGCCUCUAUUUUUCCACUAUCUGAUAUCAAACAACUAGACUAAAAUAGAAUAACAAUAAUAGUAAUAAUAAUAAUAAUAAUAAUAGCCAGAGCAUUUUUCUGUGUUAAGUUAGCAAUGUUAAGCAGCUUAAAGUGGCAUUAUCAUUUAAGCAAGACUUUAAAUGAUUUUUAUUCACUUUAAGCAUAUCAGAGUGGCCUUAUCACAAGUAAUGAUUUUUAUUCACUUUAAGCAUAUCAGAGUGGCCUUAUCACAAGUAAAUGAUAUGCUUAAAUGACAAUGCCACUGUGAUAUCAGAGUGGCAUUAUCACAAGACUUGCUUAAUGUGAAUAUCAGGGUGGCAUUAUCAUUUAAUGAUAUUUAUUGGAAAGGUUUAAUAUUCUUUUUUCUUUUUUAACUAUUCUUUUAAGAUUUUAUAGCAUUCCUUUCUGUCAAAUGCAUUAUCCAACCAAAAUCAAUGAUCUACCAAUGAAAAUUCAACUGUCUAUGGCUAGAUAUACAUAUGCUAAGACAAAUUAAGACAACCUAGUUUUCUUCCGGAUUAGAUACUAAAACACCUCAGAACCUUUUGCUUGUUUAUCCCUAAUGAAGUAGAUGGAUCAGAUCAAUAAAUCAACCAACCAACAUAAGAUUACUAUGUAACAUGACAACUGAACUUAGACAAAAGCAAGCAGAGAUAAAGAAAGCUUUUCAUACCAAUUCCAGAUAUGAUGCAGCCAGGGAAGAUUUGACACCAACAACCACAAAAGAAAUGUAGUGAAAGAGAGAGACACGCACACACAAAAAGGUGUCAGUUAUAUUGUGGCGCUCUCAUUUGUCUGAACCUAAAAGCUUUUACUACUAGUUUUGUGUCAAUGUGAGGCAAGUAGUGGCUGACAUGUAACCUUCGCCUUAACUCUGGCACUGCCACAACCAUUUCCAGCAUGCAAUACAUGUUUCAGAUUCAGGAAUCUUUGCAAUAGAACCUAUCAAUUUCACUAUAUUCACUGUGAUCUUAUUCUUGAACAAUAACCUGAAGGCCCUCUUUUUCCGUUUGCUUUUCCUGUUGUAACUGAGAGGAGAGAUUUUUUACCACAUAUGAUCCAUUUAAUUUUGAUUCAGAUUUGUACAACAAAAUACAGUAAAGGAGUCAAUUUAAAACAAAAGUUAGACAUAUACACAGCAUUACUAAAAAGGUUGCAGGUAGGCACUCGAGUCAUUCCAAGGGCUCAUGAAUUAGGCAUUUCCAAGCCAAAUACUCCCCAGCAAACAGCAGUUUUUGUGAUUUCACAUGUCUUGAGUUCAAGUGCAAGGAAAACACUACUUCACAGAAGAAGCAAAGGCCAGGCAAUAAAAUGCAUGCGGCUCCCUAUGCUUAAAGCAUCCAUGUAGCAGGAUUUCCACCGUUAGAUUGUAUUUCUCCUUGAGUUACAUCCACAUAAGGCAGAUAUGGGCUGCUGUCAAGGCAAAUUAUGGUACAUGCCUCGAGUGCGAUUAGAAGGCCAAGUUUUUAAAGCAAACACCUUAAGAAAGAGCAACGCCCCAGUCAAAAAUGCAUAUUUACUAUGCCAGAAAAUAGGUACAUAAAUAUAACAAAGUGACCAGGCUACAUAUCACAUACAAAAACCAUCAUAUAUGUUUCCGGUACCACUUACACAUGCACAAGUUCACAGCAUGACUUUCCAUGACAUUGUAUUACAAUAGAAUUUAUUCAUGGGCAAAUAUGUGGUCAUUAUUGUCUUUUUCUCAACUGUCUAACUUUUGAGCCCCAUUUUUAACAGUUUUGAAUAUGAAUUCCAAAAGAUCCAAGUAUAACAGGUCUUACAACUCAGUAAGUUUUUACCUCUCAAUAACUUUGCAGACCUCAUAAAUUCACAAUGAACAGCUCCGUCAAGAAAAUUAAUUCCCUCACUAGGUGAAUGGAUUAGAAGAACUGGAGAAAAAUUUUUAACUUUACCAUCUCAUGUAUGUACGUAAUAUGCCGUGUCUCUAAAUAUUUUCGUUUUAUGGAGUAAGCGGCAACAAGCCCGCCUUUCUUUUGAAUAGUCUACUAGGUCAGCUACUUUCUAGUGUCAGUCAAAUUUAACCAAAAAAAUAAAGGCAAACCAAAACUAGCAUAUACAGAUGCAGAUUUGGAUUCUACUCGUUUUCUUUCUAAGAACUAUAAAAACAGUGAGACUGAAUCAUCUUACACUCAAGCCAGAUCACAAAGACACACAAGUCUAAAACAACAGCACAAGUAAAAAAGUUGUUUAGAUACCACCAUUGCAGGAAUUAAGAAUACAUGGAACCAUAAAGGCAAAACUCCCAUAUUAACUAGCGAGGAGAACACAUAGAGCCUCUGAUCAUUCUUUUGAUGCUUACUGCAAACCUAAUUUGCAGUCUUUAACUGUUUUUAAUUUCCUGACUGAUCGAUCUACAUACUAAACAACUCCAAAUCUCCAACAGCUGUACAACAAUGAAGCAUUAACACAACCUAGAAGAGAAUAAGAUCCAUUUAAAUCCUUGGGACCCAAUUAGAUAUUCAUCUUAAACAACAUAGGUAGAUUUUUUAGAUGUAGGGACAUAACUUCCUGAGACACCACAUAACUGUCAUACCAAAGUAUUAUCUACUCUCCAAAUCUUAAAUACAUCUUAUGACUUUCUUAUCAAAAUAAGAACAACACUAACAAUUUUGUCUACUUGCCUCCACCCUCUUUAUUUGAUUGUUUGAAGGUCAGAUUCACAGCAGCCCCCAUCAAAAGAAAGAAAGGAAAUGGAGGAUUAGAUGGUAGCAAAGCAAAUCCGAAGUUCACAUUCAUCCUUGCAGGACUCAGAAAAAUUAACUGGAUCUUAAGAUAGAGUCUCUAACUUAGUGGUUAAGAUAAUAAUCUAAGCCCUUUUCAAGUGUGUGAAGCAUGAAAAUACAUCUCAGAGUUAAACAAACAAGAUGUCUGUUAACGGACAGGAAGAAUUAAGUGGCUUAUCACAUUAAGCUGUCAUAACAGAUACUGUAAUUACAAAACUUUAGCCUGCAAGUUACAUCAGCAAAAGCCAAUAAUCCACAUUGUGUAACUCCUUUUAACUAGAGUCUUCUCAAACCAAUAAUAACUUAAACCAGUUAUGUCCUUUGACCACCAUGAUGGACCACAUAUAUAUACCUUGUCAUGUAAGGAAACAAUUGCAUGUAACAUUUUACAUUUUUCAGUUCAUCCCACUUCAUCAGCAUGGUUUUAUCAAUCAUCUGCUGCAUUUCUUGAAAAAGCCAUCAUUGAUUUCCUCAAAGUGAGCAAACAGGCAAGGGAUGUAGCUGAAGGAAUACGUCUUGUCCAUCUAAAGAAACUACUGCUGGUGCUGCCAUUUUUGCUUGCACGUUUCAAUAUCUUAACAUUAAUUCUAAUCCAGAAUGCAUUGUUUCUGAACAAUCACAUUUACCAAAAAUUCAAGCUGACUAGGUUUUGCUUAAACAUGAAUUAAACAUUUGAUGUACCAUCAACAAUAUCAGCACAACAAAAAAAAGGAAAAAAAAUUUUGCCAGCCAGAUAUGGCUCAAGUAACCAGUCUGGACCCAGCAUAUGUCAAAUGAUACCCUGGUGAAAAAAGCUUAUGUCUGUUUAGGUUUUCUUAACCUAAAAAAAAAUAGAACACAACAGUUUUCAUAUUACCCAAUCAAGAUCACCUGAUCUGAGAGAUGCUGAUUCUCACCAUUUAACCGAUUCACUCCUAUGCUAUGUGCAAAGCCACUUCACUCGUCUAUCAGAGAGCAGGGCCAGCCAUUCUGCUCAUGGAAGAGCCUCCUAAUUUAUGUUCCCUUUGUCAAUUUCUGCCCAAUAAUGGAUAAGAUUAACCAUUUAUAUGAAUUGCUUUUAUCUUGUUAUAACUUCCAAUAGCAAUAAUAUGCGAUCCAGUAAUUAACCUGCUUAAUCUAUAGAAAGAGAGGCAUAGAAAGGAAAAAGAAUUAUCGCUUGGUAGAAUAUUUUGUCCAAAUACAUUUUUCCAUCAUGGAAAAUCCUAUGUAAGAAUCUCAACCUAUCGUUCCCUAUAUCAUUGCGGAAAACUUACAAGUGGUAAUGAAUACAACACAACAGGAGAAAGAAAACUGAUAGUAUCAAUGACUCUAACUGAAUCCCCAAUUAUUUGUCAACUGAAUGGGCACAUAAAGGGGACGCUAAAAAAACUCUAGAUACAG